AGCGAACGCUGGCGGCAGGCCUAACACAUGCAAGUCGAACGAACCUUUCGGUGUUAGUGGCGGACGGGUGAGUAACACGUGGGAACGUGCCUUUAGGUUCGGAAUAACUCAGGGAAACUUGUGCUAAUACCGAAUGUGCCCUUCGGGGGAAAGAUUUAUCGCCUUUAGAGCGGCCCGCGUCUGAUUAGCUAGUUGGUUGAGGUAAUGGCUCACCAAGGCGACGAUCAGUAGCUGGUCUGAGAGGAUGAUCAGCCACAUUGGGACUGAGACACGGCCCAAACUCCUACGGGAGGCAGCAGUGGGGAAUCUUGCGCAAUGGGCGAAAGCCUGACGCAGCCAUGCCGCGUGAAUGAUGAAGGUCUUAGGAUUGUAAAAUUCUUUCACCGGGGACGAUAAUGACGGUACCCGGAGAAGAAGCCCCGGCUAACUUCGUG
rnacentral:rRNA from 1 species